CCGACCGGCGCACGGGUGAGUAACGCGUAUGCAACUUACCUAUCAGAGGGGGAUAACCCGGCGAAAGUCGGACUAAUACCGCAUGAAGCAGGGGCCCCGCAUGGGGAUAUUUGCUAAAGAUUCAUCGCUGAUAGAUAGGCAUGCGUUCCAUUAGGCAGUUGGCGGGGUAACGGCCCACCAAACCGACGAUGGAUAGGGGUUCUGAGAGGAAGGUCCCCCACAUUGGUACUGAGACACGGUCCAA
rnacentral:rRNA from 1 species